CUGCAAGUCGAACGGACCGAUCCUGUCGCAGCGGACCGAGGAUUCGUCUGACGUCCAAAGCUUGGGAUAGGUAAGUGGCGUACGGGUGAGUAACGCGUGGGUAACCUACCCUUAAAUUGGGGAUAACUCCGCGAAAGCGGGGUUAAUACCGAAUAAUAUUCCAAUUUCUUCGGAAGUUAGAAUCAAAGGUGGCCUCUGCAUGCAAGCUAUCGUUUAAGGAUGGGCCCGCGUACCAUUAGCUUGUUGGUGGGGUAAUGGCCUACCAAGGCAACGAUGGUUAGCUGGUCUGAGAGGAUGGUCAGCCACACUGGAACUGAGACACGGUCCAGACUCCUACGGGAGGCAGCAGUGGGGAAUCUUGCGCAAUGGGGGAAACCCUGACGCAGCAACGCCGCGUGGGUGAUGAAGGCCUUCGGGUCGUAAAGCCCUGUCAGGUGGGAAGAAACUUGUGGAUGUUAAUACCAUCCGCAAU
rnacentral:rRNA from 1 species